rnacentral:rRNA from 1 species
AGACGUCUACAUUAGAUACCCGCGUAGUCCCAGCCCUAAACGAUGCGCGUUAGGUGUAUCGGUGACCACGAGUCACCGAGGUGCCGAAGGGAAACCGUGAAACGUGCCGCCUGGGAAGUACGGUCGCAAGGCUGAAACUUAAAGGAAUUGGCGGGGGAGCACCACAACGGGUGGAGCUUGCGGUUUAAUUGGAUUCAACGCCGGAAAUCUUACCGGGACCGACAGCAACAUGAAGGCCAGGCUGAAGACUUUGCCGGAUUAGCUG